AUUGAACGCUGGCGGCAGGCUUAACACAUGCAAGUCGAGCGGUGCGAUGGUGCUUGCACUAUCACUUAGCGGCGGACGGGUGAGUAAUGCUUAGGAAUCUGCCUAUUAGUGGGGGACAACAUCUCGAAAGGGAUGCUAAUACCGCAUACGUCCUACGGGAGAAAGCAGGGGAUCUUUAUGACCUUGCGCUAAGAGAUGAGCCUAAGUCGGAUUAGCUAGUUGGUGGGGUAAAGGCCUACCAAGGCGACGAUCUGUAGCGGGUCUGAGAGGAUGAUCCGCCACACUGGGACUGAGACACGGCCCAGACUCCUACGGGAGGCAGCAGUGGGGAAUAUUGGACAAUGGGGGGAACCCUGAUCCAGCCAUGCCGCGUGUGUGAAGAAGGCCUUAUGGUUGUAAAGCACUUUAAGCGAGGAGGAGGCUCUUUUGGUUAAUACCCAGAAUGAGUGGACGUUACUCGCAGAAUAAGCACCGGCUAACUCUGUGCCAGCCGCCGCCGUAA
rnacentral:rRNA from 1 species